AUGAACGCUGGCGGCGUGCCUAAUACAUGCAAGUCGAGCGAACGGACGAGAAGCUUGCUUCUCUGAUGUUAGCGGCGGACGGGUGAGUAACACGUGGAUAACCUACCUAUAAGACUGGGAUAACUUCGGGAAACCGUAGCUAAUACCGGAUAAUAUUUUGAACCGCAUGGUUCAAAAGUGAAAGACGGUCUUGCUGUCACUUAUAGAUGGAUCCGCGCUGCAUUAGCUAGUUGGUAAGGUAACGGCUUACCAAGGCAACGAUGCAUAGCCGACCUGAGAGGGUGAGCGGCCACACUGGAACUGAGACACGGUCCAGACCCCUACGGGAGGCAGCAGUAGGGAAUCUUCCGCAAUGGUCGAAAGCCUGACGGAGCAACGCCGCGUGAGUGAUGAAGGUCUUCGGAUCGUAAAACUCUGUUAUUAGGUAAGAACAUAUGUGUAAGUAACUGUGCACAUCUUGACGGUACCUAAUCAGAAAGCCACGUCUAACUACGUG
rnacentral:rRNA from 1 species